GGUGGUAUAGCUCAGUGGUAGAGUGCACGCUUAGCAUGCAGGAGGUCCUGGGUUCGAUCCCCAGUACUUCCA
rnacentral:tRNA from 1 species